rnacentral:rRNA from 1 species
CGCAAGCCUGACGGAGCAACGCCGCGUGAGGGACGAAGGCCUCUGGGCUGUAAACCUCUUUUCUCAAGGAAGAAGACAUGACGGUACCUGAGGAAUAAGCCACGGCUAAUUCCGUGCCAGCAGCCGCGGUGAUAAGGGAGUGGCAAGCGUUAUCCGGAAUUAUUGGGCGUAAAGCGUCCGCAGGCGGCCUUGUAAGUCUGUCGUUAAAGCGUGGAGCUUAACUCCAUUUCAGCGAUGGAAACUACAAGGCUUGAGUGUGGUAGGGGCAGAGGGAAUUCCUGGUGUAGCGGUGAAAUGCGUAGAUAUCGGGAAGAACACCAGUGGCGAAGGCGCUCUGCUGGGCCAUCACUGAACCUCAUGGACGAAAGCCAGGGGAACG